rnacentral:tRNA from 1 species
GAAAAAUUAGUUUAUAAAAAACAUAAACUUGUCAAGUUUAAAAAAUUAAAAAAUUAAUAUUUUUCU